AAUGAACGUUGGCGGCGUGGAUUAGGCAUGCAAGUCGAGCGAGAAGUCCUUCGGGACGGACAGCGGCGAAAGGGAGAGGAAUACGUAGAAAUCUACCCCUGGGACCGGGAUAGCGUCGGGAAACUGGCAGUAAUACCGGAUAACGUCUUAGGACCAAAGGUGUGAUUCCACCUGGGGAUGAGUCUACGCCCUAUUAGCUAGUUGGUAGGGUAAUGGCCUACCAAGGCGAUGAUGGGUAGCGGGUGUGAGAGCAUGAUCCGCCUCACUGGGACUGAGAACUGCCCAGACACCUACGGGUGGCUGCAGUCGAGAAUCUUUGUCAAUGGACGAGAGUCUGAACAAGCGACGCCGCGUGCGGGAUGAAGGCCUUCGGGUUGUAAACCGCUGUCGUAGGGGAACAAAUGUACGGGGGUUCUCCCCUGUAUUUGAGUGAUCCUAGGAGGAAGGAGAGGCUAAGCUCGUGCCAGCCGCCGCAGUAAUAC
rnacentral:rRNA from 1 species